UAGGAGAUGAGGGCCAGAGAGGGAAGGUUAGGAGAUGAGGGCCAGAGAGGGAAGGUUAGGAGAUGAGGGCCAGAGAGGGAAGGUUAGGAGAUGAGGGCCAGAGAGGGAAGGUUGGGAGAUGAGGGCCAGAGAGGGAAGGUUAGGAGAUGAGGGCCAGAGAGGGAAGGUUAGGAGAUGAGGGCCAGAGAAGGAAGGUUAGGAGAUGAGUGGCAGAGAGGGAAGGUUAGGAGACCAGGGCCAGAGAGGGAAGGUUAGGAGAUGAGUGGCAGAGAGGGAAGGUUAGGAGACCAGGGCCAGAGAGGGAAGGUUAGGAGAUGAGGGCCAGAGAGGGAAGGUUAGGAGAUGAGGGCAAGAGAGGGAAGGUUAGGAGAUGAGUGGCAGAGAGGGAAGGUUAGGAGAUGAGGGCCAGAGAAGGAAGGUUAGGAGACCAGGGCCAGAGAGGGAAGGUUAGGAGACCAGGGCCAGA